rnacentral:tRNA from 1 species
UAGCUCAGUUGGUAGAGUCCUGGAUUGUGAUUCCAGUUGUCGCGGGUUCGAGUCCCGU